ensembl:miRNA mir1-1 microRNA 1-1
CGGCCUGCUUGGGGGACAUACUUCUUUAUAUGCCCAUAUGAACACGAGCAACUAUGGAAUGUAAAGAAGUAUGUAUCCCAGGUUGGGAGAAAUGAC